CCUAGUAAGCGUGAGUCAUCAGCUCGCGUUGAUUACGUCCCUGCCCUUUGUACACACCGCCCGUCGCUACUACCGAUUGAAUGGCUUAGUGAGACCCUCGGAUUGGUAUUCGGUGGUUGGCAACAAUCGCUGUUCUCUGAAAAGUUGGUCAAACUUGGUCAUUUAGAGGAAGUAAAAGUCGUAACAAGGUUUCCGUAGGUGAACCUGCGGAAGGAUCAUUAACGAACAAAAGGUUCACUAGUUUGAAUCUUUUGGGAUCAACCAAAAACCUGUAUGAUGAUAUAAAUGUAUUUUUUUGAUUAAUGUAAUCGAGAAUACACUUUUUAAUAAAUACAAAACUUUCAACAACGGAUCUCUUGGCUCUUGCAUCGAUGAAGAACGCAGCGAAUUGCGAAAAGUAGUGUGAAUUGCAGAAUUCCGUGAAUCAUCGAAUCUUUGAACGCAUAUUGCACUCUUUGGUAUUCCGAAGAGUAUGCCUGUUUGAGGGUCAUUUGAAAAUAAAUCAUGGUCAUUCAAUCAUUUUGGAUGAUCUUGGAAUAAUGAGAUUUCCGUUUACCUUUUGAUUUGGUAUAAUGGUGACUCGAAAUUGAUGCUAGGUCUUUGCUUGUAACAGACGCGUUUAUGUUUAAAUCUUCGCAACUGACUUGUAAUUGUUUACCGGCAUGUUCAAUUUCCCCCUCCCUUUAAAAGAGGAGGAAAUCGAACGGGAAAUCAUUUCCCUAUUUUUUAUAAUCGUGACCUCAAAUCAGGCAAGAGUACCCGCUGAACUUAAGCAUAUCAAUAAGCGGAGGAAAAGAAACUAACCAGGAUUCCCCUAGUAACGGCGAGUGAAGCGGGAACAGCCCAAAUUUUAAAUCGAUCAAAAGGUCGAGUUGUAAUUUGUAGAAUUAUUUUCCACGUCUUUAUCCGAUGAAAAGUCCCUUGGAAUAGGGCAUCACAGAGGGUGAUAAUCCCGUAUUUUAUCGUGAUUUUGAUGUCGUGUGUAGUAAUUUCAAAGAGUCGAGUUGUUUGGGAUUGCAGCUCAAAACGGGUGUUAAAUUCCAUCUAAGGCUAAAUAACGGCAAGAGACCGAUAGCGAACAAGUACCGUGAGGGAAAGAUGAAAAGAACUUUGAAAAGAGAGUUAAACAGUACGUGAAAUUGUUGAAAGGGAAACGAUUGAGGCCAGUCAUGCCUGCGAGAAAUCAAUCAAUUGAUUGGGUUUUCGAAUUCAGUUAUUUGGUGCACUUUUUCGCGUGGCAGGUUAGCAUCAACUUUGAUUGUUGUAAAAUGGUGGUCGGAAUGUGACUCUUUUAGAGUGUUAUAGCCGAUUGCAGAUGCACCGAUCGAGGUUGAGGUUUGCGGCAAAUGCCUUUGGGCUACUUACCUUCCUUCUGAUCUGUUCACUUUGAAAUGACAGCUUGCUGAUGUUUUAAAGGGCGUUCAAUCAAUAGGGUAGAGUGUGAUAAAUUUGCCAAGGAUGCUGACGUAAUGACCUUAAACGACCCGUCUUGAAACACGGACCAAGGAGUCUAACAUA
rnacentral:sRNA from 1 species